rnacentral:rRNA from 1 species
GUGGGGAAUCUUGGACAAUGGGGGCAACCCUGAUCCAGCCAUGCCGCGUGAGCGAUGAAGGUCUUCGGAUUGUAAAGCUCUUUUGGCGGGGACGAUAAUGACGGUACCCGCAGAAUAAGCCCCGGCUAACUUCGUGCCAGCAGCCGCGGUAAUACGAAGGGGGCUAGCGUUGUUCGGAAUUACUGGGCGUAAAGCGCGCGCAGGCGGUCUGUUAAGUUAGGGGUGAAAUCCCUGGGCUCAACCCAGGAAUUGCCUUUAAGACUGGCAGGCUUGAGUGCGGGAGAGGUGAGUGGAAUUCCCAGUGUAGAGGUGAAAUUCGUAGAUAUUGGGAAGAACACCAGUGGCGAAGGCGGCUCACUGGCCCGUAACUGACGCUGAGGCGCGAAAGCGUGGGGAGCAAACAGGAUUAGAUACCCGUGUAGUCC